GCCUAUGGUAUCUGAUGUCCAAAGUUUGAUAAUUGUGUUUGGACAUUUCGUUUUUCUUAGGCAGAAAGUGAUUUCAGGCUUUGCGACACUGUUAGCUUAUCACAUAAGCUACCUGUUACUUUUAAUACCUGGUUACAUCU